AUUUCAUGCAUUCUUUGGUAAAUUUGGUAAUUGAUAAUGUACCUAAGUAUAUAAAAUGACGAAAAUUAAUACAGAUUCAGUUCGGUCCAGUUCAGUGAAACAUAUCGUUAACAUAAUGCUGCUGAGAAAAGUUCUAGCUUUAUUAUUUAUUUCUAAGAUGGCUGUAUCCCAGUCAAUGUACCCCACCACAGCGGUAUCAUAUUCAACAAGUGCUGUGCCUACAAUACAAACAUUACCAGUGUCACCAACAAUCAGCCCUACACCAGCUACAGUGAGAACUUUACCCAUGUCAACACAGCCAGCAACAGUGACAGCAAUACCAGUAACAGGCCCAUCAAUAUCUCCUGUCUCAUCUUCACCAGGUGUGAAAGUUACUACAAUGCCAGCUUCAAGUUCAUCACCGACAGUGUCAUUAACAUCUAUGUCACCUGUAUCUUCACCGUCUAUAAGUCCUGCAUCAAAAUUGACAGAACCCAAAGCCCAUUUCUUACCAGCAUCUAUCCCUGAUCCAAAAGUAACAAUCCUACCUUACGAUACGCCUGCAGCAGUAGACCUGUCUUGUCUGAAUGAUCCUUAUCUGGUAAAUAUUAAAGACAACGGCAAUGCGUCACCGGUAAAAAGGAUCACAAUGGCGUGUACAGACGAUUUCAUCUUUCCAGAUGAAGAUCCUGUGUGCCCUGGUAUUCCGAAGAAAUAUUCCAAGCCACCAACUCCCGUUACGAAGAAGGGUAAGGGGAAUUUGAAUAACCCGAUUGAUUUUGAAGGCUUGAUGGAUGGUUUUAUGAGUUGUCUGUAGAGAUGAUAAGAUCGGAUUAACAUAAUGAGACACAAUUAGAAGAGACGAGAUCGCCAUAACGUGAUAAUUCUAACUAGAAAUAAAA